rnacentral:rRNA from 1 species
GGGCCCGCACAAGCGGCGGAGCAUGCGGAUUAAUUCGAUGCAACGCGAAGAACCUUACCAAGGCUUGACAUAUAGAGGAAAAGUGCAGAAAUGCACUCCCCCGCAAGGUCUCUAUACAGGUGGUGCAUGGUUGUCGUCAGCUCGUGUCGUGAGAUGUUGGGUUAAGUCCCGCAACGAGCGCAACCCUCGUCCUAUGUUGCCAGCACGUAAUGGUGGGAACUCAUGGGAUACUGCCGGGGUCAACUCGGAGGAAGGUGGGGAUGACGUCAAAUCAUCAUGCCCCUUAUGUCUUGGGCUUCACGCAUGGCUACAAUGGCCGGUACAGAGGGCUGCCAAUACCGUAAGGUGGAGCGAA